rnacentral:rRNA from 1 species
GAUGAACGCUGGCGGCGUGCCUAAUACAUGCAAGUCGAGCGAACAGACGAGGAGCUUGCUCCUUUGACGUUAGCGGCGGACGGGUGAGUAACACGUGGGUAACCUACCUAUAACACUGGGAUAACUUCGGGAAACCGGAGCUAAUACCGGAUAAUAUUUCGAACCGCAUGGUUCGAUAGUGAAAGAUGGCUUUGCUAUCACUUAUAGAUGGACCUGCGCCGUAUUAGCUAGUUGGGAAGGUAACGGCUUACCAAGGCAACGAUACGUAGCCGACCUGAGAGGGUGAUCCGCCACACUGGAACUGAGACACGGUCCAGACUCCUACGGGAGGCAGCAGUAGGGAAUCUUCCGCAAUGGGCGAAAGCCUGACGGAGCAACGCCGCGGGAGUGAUGAAGGUCUUCGGAUCGUAAAACUCUGUUAUUAGGGAAGAAUAAACGUGUAAGUAACUGUGCACGUCUUGACGGUACCUAAUCAGAAAGCCACGGCUAACUACGUGCCAGCAGCCGCGGUAAUACGUAGGUGGCAAGCGUUAUCCGGAAUUAUUGGGCGUAAAGCGCGCGUAGGCGGUUUUUUAAGUCUGAUGUGAAAGCCCACGGCUCAACCGUGGAGGGUCAUUGGAAACUGGAAAACUUGAGUGCAGAAGAGGAAAGUGGAAUUCCAUGUGUAGCGGUGAAAUGCGCAGAGAUAUGGAGGAACACCAGUGGCGAAGGCGACUUUCUGGUCUGUAACUGACGCUGAUGUGCGAAAGCGUGGGGAUCAAACAGGAUUAGAUACCCUGGUAGUCCACGCCGUAAACGAUGAGUGCUAAGUGUUAGGGGGUUUCCGCCCCUUAGUGCUGCAGCUAACGCAUUAAGCACUCCGCCUGGGGAGUACGACCGCAAGGUUGAAACUCAAAGGAAUUGACGGGGACCCGCACAAGCGGUGGAGCAUGUGGUUUAAUUCGAAGCAACGCGAAGAACCUUACCAAAUCUUGACAUCCUUUGACCCUUCUAGAGAUAGAAGUUUCCCCUUCGGGGGACAAAGUGACAGGUGGUGCAUGGUUGUCGUCAGCUCGUGUCGUGAGAUGUUGGGUUAAGUCCCGCAACGAGCGCAACCCUUAAGCUUAGUUGCCAUCAUUAAGUUGGGCACUCUAAGUUGACUGCCGGUGACAAACCGGAGGAAGGUGGGGAUGACGUCAAAUCAUCAUGCCCCUUAUGAUUUGGGCUACACACGUGCUACAAUGGACAAUACAAAGGGCAGCGAAACCGCGAGGUCAAGCAAAUCCCAUAAAGUUGUUCUCAGUUCGGAUUGUAGUCUGCAACUCGACUACAUGAAGCUGGAAUCGCUAGUAAUCGUAGAUCAGCAUGCUACGGUGAAUACGUUCCCGGGUCU